rnacentral:lncRNA from 1 species
GAAACAUGAAGUUGCAGUGAACAAGACUAUGCAAUGCAAUUGUUUUACUAACUUGUGGAUAGAAAUCAAGUUAUGUUUGAAAGAAGGAACAAGUAAGACAUCAUGAAGAGUGAUGAAUGGAUUUAAUGCAAAAGAUCCUGUGCAUGUCACUUUCACUUUAUAUCCAUUAGGAAGAGUUACAAUAUAGGGUAAAGUUAAAGGUGUGAGAUUGAAGAGUAAAUCUUUAUUAAAGGUCAUAUGGUUAGAUACCCC